GGAAAAAGGGCAAACUGCUGAUAAUAAAACCUUUUCAGGUUUGUGGGUCUGGCUUUCAAAAUAAUAGAAUCUUCUUUAGAUUUGUGCAGAGGACGCUGUUAUUGUGAAAGACUUGUACCGGAUAUGUCACUGUUGUCACUGUCGGGGCUGGAGAGUCAGCUGACCAGAAAACAGAGUCAGGUCGUGAAAUGGAUUUAAAUGUCAGUGUAAGUCUUCACGAAAGGACAGAAACAACACACAGCUUCCCCCCGACACACAGCGUCACAGGAUCUUAACAUCUGGACUGAUCUCUACCAGCUACAGUUUGGAAAUAUUUCCAGACUAUGGCUUCAGAUCAACAACAGUCUGGUCUGGACAAGCACAAGUAAAAGUAAGAAUAAUCCAAACCCUGUGUUUUGCAAAAGUAGUGCUCAGCGAAAUAGCCAAAGAUUAUUAC